rnacentral:rRNA from 1 species
CUACGGGCUGCUCCAGUUUCGAAUAAUUCACAAUGGGCGCAAGCCUGAUGAUGCGACGUUACGUGAAGGAAGAAAGCUUUAAGUUGUAAACUUCUGUCGUUAAGGAACAAAAAAUUAAGUAGUACUUUUUAUAUUGAGUUAACUUAAAAAGGAAGCAGUGGCUAAUUUCGUGCCAGCAGCCGCGGUAAUACGGGAACUGCAAGCGUUGCUCGGUUUUAUUGGGCGUAAAGAGUACGUAGGCUGUUAUAUAUGCUAAUUGUUAAAUUUUAAAGUUAAUCUUUAAAUUUGCUGUUAAAACUAUAUAACUAGAAUUUCAAAGAGGUAAGUGGAAUUUCAAGUGUAGCGGUGAAAUGCGUAGAUAAUUGAAGGAACACCAAUGGCGAUAGCGACUUCCUGGGCGAUAGUUUACGCUAAAGUACGAAAGUAUAGGGGGCAAAAAGGAUUAGAUACCCUAGUAGUC